CCUACGGGAGGCAGCAGUAGGGAAUUUUCGUCAAUGGGAGCAAGCCUGAACGAGCGAUGCCGCGUGAGUGAAGAAGGCCUUCGGGUCGUAAAGCUCUUUUUCUGGGGAAAAAAGGCAGCGUCAGUAAAUGGGUGCUGACUGUUGGUGCCCCGCCAGAAAGUCACGGCUAACUACGUGCCAGCAGCCGCGGUCAUACGUAGGUAGCGAGCGUUAUCCGGAAUGGUUGGGCGUAAAGGGUGCGCAGGCGGUCCUGCAAGUCUGGAGUGAAACGCAUGAGCUCAAAUCAUGCAUGGCUUUGGAAACUGGAGGACGGGAGAGCAGGAGAGGGCGGCGGAACGCGAUGUGUAGCGGUAAAAUGCGUAGAUAUAUGGAAGAACACCAGUGGCGAAGGCGGCCGCCUGGCCUGUUGCUGACGCUGAGGCACGAAAGCGUGGGGAGCAAAUAGGAUUAGAUACCCGAGUAGUC
rnacentral:rRNA from 1 species